AGUCACUUGCCAUGAGCCCUGAAAUUAGUUUCUUUGUGCAUAUUGACUGUUUUAAUUGGUGCUAAAAAACUCAUAUGUUGCAAUUUUGUUGAUAGUGUAUCGAUUCCAAUAUUGGUGGAUCUAUUAAUUGGGACAGUUGAGAAUCUAUUUUAGCUACAGACUGUUAUUGUGCUUUUCUGUGCCACUUCUCAUUGUAAUAUUUGCUGUUUGUAUAUUUUAUUGAUCAGUUCAAUUAUUUUUAUGUUUUUUUAAUAACAAAGACAAUGAUGUUGAUGUUUUUGAUUUUUUGGAGUGGAGGGAAGGAUGAGGAGAUUUGUUCCAGUAUUAGUUCAUGUUUUACAUUCCAAGUUGGAAUCUGAAUUGAGCAUCAUUAAAGAGAAAUAUAAAAAGUU
rnacentral:misc_RNA from 1 species